GCCUGGGUAGUGUACUGUUUGAGCAUUGGACUACAAUUCUGGAGACCAGGGUUCAAAUCCCAACUUGGGCA